GUCUACAGCCAUACCACCCUGAACGCGCCCGAUCUUGUCUGAUCUCGGAAGCUAAGCAGGGUCGGGCCUGGUUAGUACUUGGAUGGGAGACCUAAAACCAUUAAAAUCCUACAAGAAAACCUACGCAAUACC
ensembl:rRNA 5S_rRNA 5S ribosomal RNA